GUGAAAUGGUUACACAAUGUAGUCUACCCACAGCCAAUGCAUGUAGGCUUUGUAGGGUGUGACCUUGUUUUGCAAAUUUUCAUUUUCUAGUUAACUGCUAAUGACUUUUCUCUUACUUGUAUAUUCUACACAUGUGGAAAAUAUAUGUACAUGGACAUAAGGGCUCUGUUGUUUAUCUUUGAUUAUUCCUUACAUUUAGGUGUUCUCUUACAUGUAUUCCAGUAGGCUAUUCCAGCCAAAAUAGCCGUAGCAGUUUGUUUGUAGGCUACAUCAGGACCCUGUUGAUAACCUGGGGUCGGUUGUGAUAGGAGUCUGAAAUAUCUCUUUAGGAUAUCCACUUCCAGCCAACUAGGUUGCUAUGGUAACCUGGACCUGAGGACAUCACCCCACUAAUGGCGGGGUGUCUCUUGCCGACAGGGGGUGACUGGAGUGGUCGUUCCUCUUCCACUCAGGAGAAUACUUGGCGAUUACAUCACCCUAGAAAAGGACCAACAGGAUAUGCGUUACUUGCAAUAAAUAUUUAUAUUUUUAUAUACUGAAGUGGUUGUGACCUUGUUUUCUUUUUCUACGUCUAGGUAUGUUUCCAUAUCGGAAACAUAAGUUUUCAGU
rnacentral:lncRNA from 1 species